GGGGGCGAACGGUUUCGACUGGAUGACUGUCGGUCGAGGUGGCGUGCCGUGGUUGAUCAGUGGGCCACGUUAAAAGCUGAUCAAACAACAACUGCUGACAAGAGCUUUGCUCUGGCUGCCUAAUUACAGGCAACCCUGACUGCGGAAUCCCUGUCUGAGGAGUCCAAAAGUCGGUGAAAAUUCAGACUGGUGCUGCUUCACCGCCGGUUACGGGCAGCACGAGAUUUGUCAUCGGCUGGUACGGAGCGGGCCUGGUCGCAUGAGCCUGCCCGUACGACACAAUCAAGCGACUAUGCACGUAGAGGCUUCUUCCAAGGUGUCUCAGGACGCGGGUUCAAUUCCCGCCGCCUCCAUCC
rnacentral:tmRNA from 1 species